GGAGAGGUGUCCGAGUGGUCGAUGGUGCACGCUUGGAAAGCGUGUGUGCUGGAAGGCACCGGGGGUUCGAAUCCCCCCCUCUCCG
rnacentral:tRNA from 1 species